rnacentral:rRNA from 1 species
GGGUUGUGAGGUUAAGCGACUAAGCGUACACGGUGGAUGCCCUGGCAGUCAGAGGCGAUGAAGGGCGUGCUAAUCUGCGAUAAGCGCCGGUAAGGUGAUAUGAACCGUUAUAACCGGCGAUACCCGAAUGGGGAAACCCAGUGUGAUUCGUCACACUAUCAUUAACUGAAUCCAUAGGUUAAUGAGGCGAACCGGGGGAACUGAAACAUCUAAGUACCCCGAGGAAAAGAAAUCAACCGAGAUUCCCCCAGUAGCGGCGAGCGAACGGGGAGGAGCCCAGAGCCUGAAUCAGCAUGUGUGUUAGUGGAAGCGUCUGGAAAGGCGCGCGAUACAGGGUGACAGCCCCGUACACAAAAGCGCAUGUGCUGUGAGCUCGAUGAGUAGGGCGGGACACGUGGUAUCCUGUCUGAAUAUGGGGGGACCAUCCUCCAAGGCUAAAUACUCCUGACUGACCGAUAGUGAACCAGUACCGUGAGGGAAAGGCGAAAAGAACCCCGGCGAGGGGAGUGAAAAAGAACCUGAAACCGUGUACGUACAAGCAGUGGGAGCACCCUUCGGGGUGUGACUGCGUACCUUUUGUAUAAUGGGUCAGCGACUUAUAUUCUG